UGUAACGACUCUCGGCAACGGAUAUCUCGGCUCUCGCAUCGAUGAAGAACGUAGCGAAAUGCGAUACUUGGUGUGAAUUGCAGAAUCCCGUGAACCAUCGAGUCUUUGAACGCAAGUUGCGCCCGAAGCCAUCCGGUUGAGGGCACGUCUGCCUGGGCGUCACACACC
rnacentral:rRNA from 1 species